rnacentral:lncRNA from 1 species
ACCCAGCUUCUUCCUCCUCCACAGUCUCUCCAGCAGACUUGUGUGCCACUCCUGGACUGGGAAGUCCGUGAAGGUCUCUACUGCAGGUGUUCCCAGGAGAGCCCAGAGACCCUGAUCAUUGAGUACUAUGUGUGUACUGACUCCACCCAAUGUGUCCCAGAGGCCUGCCAGGUGAGUGAGGAGUCCAGUCACCCAACCAUCCAUGUAUCCAUCCACCCAUCCACCCAUCCAUCCAUCCAUCCAUCCAUCCAUCCAUCCAUCCAUCCUCCAUUCCUCCAACCUUCCAUUAGGCAUGCACUGAUUAUCUACCCAUUCAUUAUCCACUUAUUUACUCAUCUACCCAGUCAGCCACACACUCAUGCAUUAUCCAUCAUUAAUUCUUUCACAUAUGCACAAUUCAUUUCCUAUAUUCUUUCACCCACCCAUUCCCCAGAUACUCAUCCAUACAUCUUCCCAUUCAUGCACAUAUGCAUGAUUUCCUCCAUUUACCCACUCAUCCACUCCUGUACCCACCUGCCCCUCCAUCUAUCUAUCCCCCCACCCAUUUGCCCCAUCCAUCCACCCACCUGCUCCCCAACCACCCACCUACCCACUCAUCCAUCUUUUGGCCAACACUCAACCUUGUGUCUAUCCAUCCAAUCAUCCAUUCUUCAUCCAGUCUAUCCAUCCAUAUUGCAAAAAUAUAUUAAGCACUCUAUGCCAGGCAUCAUGCUGGCCCUGAGAGUACACUGAUGGACCUCAUGGUGCAUCUAGUAUAGUGGGUGAGGCAGAGAAAUCAUUAGACAAGUCCUGGGUGAUAAGCUCUUUGACAAGGGUGAGCAAGAGGUGAGCCAGGAGGACCAAACAAAAGCAGAUCACAUAGAUCUGUACAUCUAGGAAGGCAUCUUCCAUGAGGCAAUGCCCAAGCUAAGUCUGAAGGAUGAACACAAGUUGGCCUGCAAAGCUAUGAGAGUGAGAUGACAACAUUUCUGGCAGGGACGCCAGCACCUGCAAGGAUCCAGAAGUGCAACAUAAAGAGCCUAGCUUAUGUAGCUUGUGAAGCAAGGAGAGGCAAGGGGAACAGGGGCCAAGGCACACAGGGGCAUGCUACACGCCACCCCCCCCCCCAUCUUUUGGCAUCAUUCCUCAUGCCCUGCCCCACAGGGCUCUCUUGCAGGACUCAGGAACCCAUUAUCCUGUCAAGCCAAUAGCCCCUGGGUGCUGUUGGGUAUGAUGAGCCAGGGAGGGCAGGUGCUACAGAAUCCCCAACUGCUCUGGUGCACAUGCCAGCACGGCUGCCUCCAUGCCCUUGCUCUCACCCUGUGUGAGCCUGGCCCCCUGUGUGAGCAUCACAGACCUGGCCCAUGCAGCUGGGCUCAGGGGUCAGGCCUCCUUUAGCUGAAGGACAGCAGUGGGACAAGAGCCAGACCAGAGACAGUGGGGUUGAAAGGACGUGCCAGCUCCCCCAGCACCUGUCAUACUUGGCUGGCAUCUGCUAGUUUUGAAUAAGGAUCAAGAUAAGGCCAAGCAUGGUGGAGAGAAAACAAGGUAUCCGCUACAUGGACAGCCCCUCCCAGGAUCCGUCAGUCCCCUUUUGGCACAGGUGGCCCCAGCCCUGCCCUGAGACACACCCUUGGAUUGCAAGGUCCAUUGCAGGCCACAGCCCAGAUGCCCAAAACCCUGAUGACAUGGGGGAGGCUGCCGCCAGCUCAGGCAGGAGGCCACAUGUUCCCCAUCCAACUGAUGGCCAUGCUUACAAGUGGCUUCUGGCUUCGACCUCUGUGUUCAGAGCUGGAAGGAGCAACAGUCAGCAGGAAAGGACACCAAGGCCAGUCCCUGAACUCUACAGCUGGGCAGGAGACCGUCCUGAUGCUUGAGAGGCCAGGCCCACGUGUAGCUGUUCAUGAUCCUGACCCUUAAGUCUGGCCGCCCCCUCUUCUGCUUGCCAGCUUCUGGAACCUCAUGUCAGCAGCUAGAGGAAAGUCUGGGCUCCCCAACCUCCUCAAAGCUCCCAUCAUCAAUUUGAUCCUAGGCUUCCUGAAAUAAUUUUCAGAUUAAAAAAAAAAUCCAACAUUUGCUUA